AGUGUUGUGUGAUUUGGUAGAAUGCGAUCUUACCCUUCAAAAAAUAUGUCACGUAUUUCAGCACCUGGAAAAUUGGAAGGAUACUACAAAUCUGGCCUCCACAUAAGUGGUCUGUAGCUUCGACAUGAUAGGUGUGAAAUUUUAAACGUUCUUGCUGUUGAUUGGAUAGGAAGGGUAGCGUUAUCUAGCCUCCACGCUAGGUACACCAUAGCCUCCAUACGGUACUUCCAAUAUUUAAUAUUAUUUUAUUAAAGUGGCCAAUAAAGGUAAAACACAAACAA